GUCUUUGUGGCGUGAUUGGUGGCAUUAUCACCUUUGCCUGUUAACUGGAAGAUUGGUGGUUCAAGUCCACCCAAGGAUGCC
rnacentral:tRNA from 1 species